GGUUGGCUAGCUCAGUUGGUUAGAGCGUCGAGCUAAUACAAUUGAUUACGUAACUCGAAGGUCAUGGGUUCGACCCCCCUGCUGACCA
rfam:Rhizoctonia solani 123E scf_297, whole genome shotgun sequence.